rnacentral:piRNA from 1 species
AUAAUCUGAACAUUGAAAAUGAAG